AGUUCGAUUCUCUGGCUCAGAUUGAACGCUGGCGGGAUGCUUUACACAUGCAAGUCGAACGGCAGCACGGACUUCGGUCUGGUGGCGAGUGGCGAACGGGUGAGUAAUGUAUCGGAACGUGCCUAGUAGCGGGGAUAACUACGCGAAAGCGCAGCUAAUACCGCAUAAUACCCUCUGGGGAAAGCGGGGGGACCUUUCGGGCCUCGCACUAUUAGGAGCGGCCGAUAUCGGAUUAGCUAGUUGGUGGGGUAACGGGCUCACCAAGGCGACGAUCCGGCUGGUUUGAGAGGACGACUGGCCACACUGGGACUGAGACACGGCCCAGACUUUACGGAGGCAGUGGGGAAUUUUGGACAAUGGGGAAACCCUGAUCCAGCCAUCCCGCGUGCGAUGAAGGCCUUCGGGUUGUAAAGCACUUUGGCAGGAGGCGAAACGGCACGGGAUAAUACCCCGUGCAACUGACGGUACCUCUGCAGAAUAAGCACCGGCUAACAUGCCAGCAGCCGCGGUAAUACGUAGGGUGCAAGCGUUAAUCGGAAUUACUGGGCGUAAAGCGCAGGCGGUUCGGAAAGAAAGAUGUGAAAUCCCAGAGCUAACCUUCGGAAUCCAUUUUUGACCACCGAGCUAGAGUGUGUCAGAGGGAGGUGGAAUUCCGCGCAAAGGGAACGUGGAUAUGCGGAUACACCCGAUGGCGAAGGCAGCUUCGGGAUAACACUGACGUCAUGCACGAAAGCGUGGGGAGCAAACAGGAUUAGAUACCCCUUGGUAGUCCACGGCCUUGAAACGACGUCGUUCUAGCUGUUGGCCUUCGGGCCUUGGUAGUGCAGCUAACGCGGAAGUUGACCGCCUGGGGAGUACGGUCGCAAGAUUAAAACUCAAAGGCGAAUUGACGGGGACCCGCACAAGCGGUGGAUGAUGUGGAUUAAUUCGAUGCAACGCGAAAAACCUUACCUACCCUUGACAUGUCUGGAAUCCCGAAGAGAUUUGGGAGUGCUCGCAAGAGAACCGGAACACAGGUGCUGCAUGGCUGUCGUCAGCUCGUGUCGUGGAGAUGUUGGCGCUAAGCUCCCAACGAGCGCAACCUCUUGUCAAGGUUGCUACGAAAGGGCACUCUAAUGAGACUGCCGUGACAACCGGAGGAAGGUGGGGAUGACGUCAAGCCCUCAUGGCCCUUUAUGGGUAGGGGCUUCACACGUCAUACAAUGGUCGGGACAGAGGUCGCCAACCCGCGAGGGGAGCCAAUCCCAGAAACCCGAUCGUAGUCCGGAUCGCAGUCUGCAACCUGACUGCGUGAAGUCGGAACGUUAGUAAUCGCGGAUCAGCAUGUCGCAGGGCCAUGCCCGGGUCUUGUACACACCGCCCGUCACACCAUGGGGAGUGGGUUUUACCAGAAGUAGUUAGCCUAACCGUAAGGAGGGCGAUUACCACGGUAGGAUUCAUGACUGGGGUAAAGUCGUAACAAGGUAGCUCC
rnacentral:rRNA from 1 species